CCUUGGACCACCCAAGCGGUGUUGUCAGCAUCCUGGUAGUUGCUUCUUACUGCAAAAUUAAGGUCAGAAGUUGGUCUUGCACCAGAGCCCCAAAUCUCUUAAAGGCUAUGUAUGAAUCAGUUCUCAGUUAUCCUCAUUUCUCAUUAAUGCUGUGUCUGUAACUCAACCGUCAUAUUCCACGGUAGCAAUAUAAGAUGGAAGCCACAGUCCUUUGUGGUUAGAGAAGCAUUUGACUGAAAAAGUGAACGUGAAACAGGCAAAAGCAGCAAUGACCAAAGAAGGGGUGAAAGGAGGAUGAGUUCUCCAACAGUGAACAUGCAGGCUCAGGAGUACCUGUGUAUUUACAGUUGUCUGUUUGUCUGACCAAGCCCCGGUGCUAGGAGCUGUACGGAUUCAGAAUAAGAGGUCUUCUCUAGUGUGACAAGGACCUAUACAGAGAAAACACGAAGUGGCUGUGACCAGCCCAGAUGCAGACCUGCAUGCUGUAGAUUAGGACCCUAAUGGGAGGGAGACACCAGAACGAGAUGCGCAUCAGCAAGCUGGUGGGAACCCAUGCUGGCAAGGAUGGUAAGAGCCAUCUGGUCUGGAUCCUACCUUGCUGAAAAGCAGCUCCAGUUGGUUGUUCGAGGACUUGGAGAUGGUCAGCUCUGACAGGGCUCUAUGGACCUUCCGCAAAAAUUUCCAAAUUUCAGAAAGUAUAAAUCUGAGUAUAGUUAAUGAACUGGAGAUUCUCCUUUACAGCAAGAAUGCUGUACCUAUGCAUUUUUUCCUUAAAUCUUAAUAGCACUUAAGUGUCUUGGUCUUCUUGAGAUCAAGACCAAGACAACAGAGCCUUUAGAACAAAUUUAUGAUGGGAUUAAAAAUAUCCGCCUCUGGUCAUUAUGAUAGUAAGUACUCUAACAAAUGGUAUUGGCAUUGAAGGGAGACUUUAUCUGCUAUUAUUGACCUUCAUUAUAUUCUAAUGAGAAAUAUUGCUAUUCUGAGCGGCACUUCCAUAGAAAGGAUUAAAUAAGCACCUAUAUUUUGUUCUAUUCAAGUUAUUUUUAUAUUGUAUUUUCACUGCUAAUGUACUGGAAAGUGUGCAACAGUCAUCACUGACUAAUAUUUGUUAUCCCCAGGAACAAUUCUGCCAUAAAUUGAUAGUGCCAUUCCACUUCCAGCUUACAGGAGAUAAAGCUCCUGCAAGUGCUGAAUGCACUCUCCUGCAGUCAUGACUUGUGUCACUAGAAGACGAGCUCCUUUGAAGGGGUAGAUGAAUGUUGGAAUAGACCUUACUGUGCUGUACUUGCUAGUUCUUCUUGUUUAUAAGCCUCCCAGGAAGAAUUCAAUGUGUGCUUUUCUGUCACUGACUUUUCAGGUACUUUCCCUCGUUUCUGUAAACUCUUACAUUUUUUCCACAGCUUUUCCCCAGUGUGACAAAUCUCCUGGAUAGCUGACAGAACCAUCCUGAGUUUAUCAGGAAAAGGGAUGAGUUGUUAGCUCUCCUCUUUUCACUCAUAAGUGACCUAUCACCUAGUCAAUAUUUUCUUAUUGCCAUAGCUAUCAGGGAUGCUGGUAUUUCCUUCAUACUCUGUUGGAUUUUUCCCCUGUACUGGCUCUAAGGAGCCUCCUGCUACAAAGAGAAGGAUGCCAUGGAGUAAAUGGGCCGUCAUUUCAGAGCAAAGUGUCUGAAAGAUGCUGAGGGCGAGGACUGUGCGGCAUCUCCCAAGUGGCUGGCCUUCCUUGUCUGUGCAUGGCCAGCUCUUCCUCUUUGCCACAUUCAUGCAAGUGAGUGAUUGCAAUGAAUUGAAGAUACUCCUGUUGCACUCACAUGAAGAAACAGCUCAUAGAUUUCUUGCUGGGAGACAGAAGAGCAGCCCUUCUUCCCUGCAGUAAAUCCUCUUUUUCAGAUCUCAUCUCAAAGCAACUCUUUUGCAGCGUUGAGGGCAAAUGAUCAGUAUUUCCUUAAUGGGUCUGGGUAUAUUUAAUCCAGCAUUGCUGAAGUGCAGAAAUGUUAUCCUCUAGACACCCUGCUUUCAUUUAAACAGCUUGUCUCUGGUUAUUGCGUGAGGGAGAAGGAAAGUGGAAGGGCGAUGUUGCUGCCAUGGUGCCUGCCUGGGUCUGCAAGGGCUGAGAUGAUGCCUCAGAGGCACCAGCCGUUUAGCGGAUGUGGAUCACCACGUCCGGCACAGAGGGCGAAGAAUGCGUGCAGUGCAGCAAGGGCACCACACUGCAUGCUCUGGAUGUGAGGGACCAGGCUGGGCAGACCUGGCCCUAGCUUCCUUCACUUCAGUGAUAAAUUUCAGCAAUGCACCAGCUGACGGUAUUGCCCCAGCUAGGCGCAUGAAGUAAUUAUGGAUCUGGGUUUCAUCCCCAGGUCUGAGGCUCUUGUCUAUAAUUGUUAGCAGGCUGGGCCAGUCCAAAAGGCUGAACUGCCUUAAGAGAUGGGAGCAGGACAACUGGGCGGUAAAAAUACUGCAGAGACAAACCUACCAGCUGAUUGGGAGCUGGGAUGUCACUCCCCUCCAGUAUCCUACUCUUGAAGAGCUCAAAGAGGAAUCCAAGCCAUGCACUACUGAAGUGUAACCAGGAGAUGGCAUUCAUCGAAUAGAGAUGUUCCCUGGGAGAGCAAGCUGGGAAAGGCACAGCUAGUCCCAAGAAGCCUGCUGCAUGUCCUCAAAAAUGUGAGCAAAGUGACUCAUUAUGGCAGUUCCAGGAAAGAAAAGAAAAGAAAAGUCUCACAUUUUCUUUCUUGGAAAUCCAUUGUGCAAAGUCCUUUCACAUGGAAAAAAGCACAUAAACCCCAUUUUAUUUUGAGAGUGGGGAAAAAAUAAGCACAUUUCCCCGCCUUUGAAAACAUGCAGCUGUCAGGACAUGCCUCUGUCUUCUGUCCCCAUGGCCUUUCCUGCAUGAGCAGAGCCGCCCGUGACUACUGUUUCUGUUCCUUUCAUUCAGCUGCCCUUCAUUCAUUGCUCUAGUAUCCCAUCUGUGAGUAAGUUCCUUGAAGAAACUCUGUUUAUGGCUUAUAUGAAGUCAUAUGAAUAGUCAGCAAAUUGAAAAGGUCUUUACUGACAAAUCAGACCGAAAUAGCACAGCAAUAUUUACACGUCUCCAUGGCUGAGCAAGGAAAGUUUGUAGUCUCUGCCUCUGAACUGCAGGUAAGCUGGGUCACAGACUGGGUGAAAUACAUUUUUUCCAUAGGGCAUGUUUGGCCCGUCUUCAUUUAUGGGAGCAAUAUUUAGGCACCUGUAUCUGAGGCAGUAUACUAGGAAACAACAAAUGAGUAUUUUUUUUCUAACUAUUGGCAAUUUCCCCUUUCUAGGAAAGGAAGAAUAAAGGAUGUACAAUCAGUCAUUUAGAGACUAGAAGAAAGAUUUGUUUUCAAUAAAAACAUGACCUACAGCCCUUCUGCUAGAAACAUUUCAUUUCCAGGAAAUUGGUGUCCAUAUCAAACAGAUGAUUUUUGAAACACAUUGGCACUGUUGGGCUGCUCUGAAGAAAUGAUGUUUGUCGUUUAUUUGAGCUAUGAAGCCUGGAAAUGCUGGCCUGGAGGAGAACACACAGGGCAGCUCAGUUCCUGCGGUGAAGGUGGCAGGGCUCCGCGCAGCUGGCCGUGGGGCCCGAGAAAACCUACGUCCUCCUGAACUGUACAAGAACUUUUGUUCAUUCUCUUUUGCCUGGCUGAGCUCAGCUUUGUGUUGCUAACAGAUCCUGAUUCUCCAAGCUCUGGCCAGCAGCCAGGACCCAGAAUUCAUGACUUUGUGGUGGCAAUGGCACAAGACCUGUCCUCCUUCCCCGCCGGGUGAUAUGAAGUCCCGGCCCAGCUGGCUCCCCCUUUGGCAGCUUUCUGUGGCUUUAUUUCCCUGUAUUCUUUGUGCAGAAGAUGAUGGAGCCAGCUCAGCUUGGUUUGGCCUUCCCCUGCAAUGCCAAGUAAAGGAAAGCACCAGCUACAGUAGAGAAUAACUUGUCCAACCCAAGGUGCUGGAGUGAGGAGUCAGACUGGUGGCAGUUGCUUGGAAAAAGUGAUUGUGCAGGAGGUGUUGGAAGGAAUAGUCAAGGCUGGAGAUGGUUUAUUCCUCAAGAAGAAGAGGUCCAAGCCUUACCUCUGCAAUGCAAUUGCCGUGGGGAGAUUUUGUACCUCAGUCCUACCUGCUUUGGCUUCCCUGUCGUGCUGUGCUUGCCAUCUCCUUUGUCCCCCAGUGACACUCUCCCAGGGGCCAGCCUUUAGCCCCACACCUGCGUGUGCAGAUAGUGCUUCCCCUUCCCUUUGCAUGUUCAGCUCCACUCGCAGCAUCAGGGGAAGGGUUUCUGGUUUGCUCCUAGCAGCACCCCAGCCCUGACAGCUUCAGAGGACGAAGGAAUUGCCUGCAACCCCAAGAAGCCACCAAGAACGUUUCUGGGGAAUAAAAUCUGCAGACCUUCA